UACGUAGGGGGCAAGCGUUGUCCGGAAUCAUUGGGCGUAAAGAGCGUGUAGGCGGCCCGAUAAGUCCGCUGUGAAAGUCCAGGGCUCAACCCUGGGAUGCCGGUGGAUACUGUCGGGCUCGAGUCCGGAAGAGGAGUGUGGAAUUCCUGGUGUAGCGGUGAAAUGCGUAGAUAUCGGAAGGAACAUCAGUGGCGAAAGCGACUUCCUGGACCAAUACUGACGCUCAUGUGCGAAAGCGUGGGGAGCAAACAGG
rnacentral:rRNA from 1 species